rnacentral:tRNA from 1 species
GUAUAUAUAGUAAAGUAAUACUUAUAAUUAGAAUUACUAUAUAUAAAGUAUUCCGCGAUAUAUUCUUUUUCUUAUUAUUUAUUAAUUAUAGUAUCUAUAGUACUUAAUAUUUUUAGUAUUAUAUUAAUACUAUUCCCUUAAUAAUAUCGCUUUAGUAUUUAUAGUAGUUACUUUAGUAUAUUAAUCCUAAUUAUCUUAGGUUCUAUAUCCUAGUAAAUAUA